UUGCCUCAGUAACGGCGAGUGAAGCGGCAACAGCUCAAAUUUGAAAUCUGGCUCCUUUCAGGUGUCCGAGUUGUAAUUUGUAGAGGAUGCUUCGGCUUACGCCCCGGUCUAAGUUCCUUGGAACAGGACGUCACAGAGGGUGAGAAUCCCGUUUGUGGCCGGCGGCUUCUGCCAUGUGAAGCUCCUUCGACGAGUCGAGUUGUUUGAGAAUGCAGCUCUAAAUGGGAGGUAUAUUUCUUCUAAAGCUAAAUACCGGCCAGAGACCGAUAGCGCACAAGUAGAGUGAUCGAAAGAUGAAAAGCACUUUGGAAAGAGAGUUAAAAAGUACGUGAAAUUGUUGAAAGGGAAGCGCUUGCGACCAGACUUGCCCGCGGAUGCUCAGCCGGUCCUUCGGCCGGUGCACUCUUCCGCGGUCAGGCCAGCAUCAGUUCGGGCGGUCGGAUAAAGGCCUCGGGAAUGUGGCUCCUCUCGGGGAGUGUUAUAGCCCUUGGUGCAAUACGGCCCGCCUGGACUGAGGCCCGCGCUUCGGCUAGGAUGCUGGCGUAAUGGUCGUAAGCGGCCCGUCUUGAAACACGGACCAAGGAGUCUAACAUCUAUGCGAGUGUUUGGGUGUCAAACCCGUGCGCGAAAUGAAAGUGAACGGAGGUGGGAACCCUCGGGUGCACCAUCGACCGAUCCUGAUGUCUUCGGAUGGAUUUGAGUAAGAGCAUAGCUGUUGGGACCCGAAAGAUGGUGAACUAUGCCUGAAUAGGGUGAAGCCAGAGGAAACUCUGGUGGAGGCUCGCAGCGGUUCUGACGUGCAAAUCGAUCGUCAAAUUUGGGUAUAGGGGCGAAAGUAAGUUGACACUCACCGUCACAUUCAUGAGACAUAUGCUAACAGAUUU
rnacentral:rRNA from 1 species